rnacentral:rRNA from 1 species
UACGUAGGGUGCGAGCGUUAAUCGGAAUUACUGGGCGUAAAGCGUGCGCAGGCGGUUUUGUAGGCCAGAUGGGAAAUCCCCGAGCUUAACUUGGGAACUGCAUUUGGGACUGCAAGGCUAGAGUACGGCAGAGGGGGGUAGAAUUCCUGGUGUAGCAGUGAAAUGCGUAGAUAUCAGGAGGAAUACCGAUGGCGAAGGCAGCCCCCUGGGUCGAUACUGACGCUCAUGCACGAAAGCGUGGGGAGCAAACAGG